rnacentral:rRNA from 1 species
AUUGAACGCUGGCGGCAGGCCUAACACAUGCAAGUCGAGCGGAUGAGUGGAGCUUGCUCCAUGAUUCAGCGGCGGACGGGUGAGUAAUGCCUAGGAAUCUGCCUGGUAGUGGGGGACAACGUUUCGAAAGGAACGCUAAUACCGCAUACGUCCUACGGGAGAGAGUGGGGGAUCUUCGGACCUCACGCUAUCAGAUGAGCCUAGGUCGGAUUAGCUAGUUGGUGAGGUAAAGGCUCACCAAGGCGACGAUCCGUAACUGGUCUGAGAGGAUGAUCAGUCACACUUGAACUGAGACACGGUCCAGACUCCUACGGGGGGCAGCAGUGGGGAAUAUUGGACAAUGGGCGAAAGCCUGAUCCAGCCAUGCCGCGUGUGUGAAGAAGGUCUUCGGAUUGUAAAGCACUUUAAGUUGGGAGGAAGGGCAGUAAGUUAAUACCUUGCUGUUUUGACGUUACCAACAGAAUAAGCACCGGCUAACUUCGUGCCAGCAGCCGCGGUAAAAC